GGAAUCUUCCACAAUGGACGAAAGUCUGAUGGAGCAACGCCGCGUGAGUGAAGAAGGGUUUCGGCUCGUAAAACUCUGUUGUUAAAGAAGAACAUAUCUGAGAGUAACUGUUCAGGUAUUGACGGUAUUUAACCAGAAAGCCACGGCUAACUACUUGCCAG
rnacentral:rRNA from 1 species